rnacentral:rRNA from 1 species
GAUGAACGCUGGCUGUGUGCCUAAUACAUGCAUGUCGAGCGGAAGUAGCAAUACUUUAGCGGCGAAUGGGUGAGUAACACGUGCUUAAUCUACCUCUUAGAUUGGAAUACCUAAUGGAAACAUUGGUUAAUGCCGGAUACGCAUGGAGUCGCAUGACUCCGUUGUGAAAGGGGCCUUUAAAGCUCCACUAAGAGAUGAGGGUGCGGAACAUUAGCUAGUUGGUGAGGUAACGGCCCACCAAGGCUAUGAUGUUUAGCCGGGUCGAGAGACUGAACGGCCACAUUGGGACUGAGAUACGGCCCAAACUCCUACGGGAGGCAGCAGUAGGGAAUAUUCCACAAUGAGCGAAAGCUUGAUGGAGCGGCACAGCGUGCACGAUGAAGGUCUUAUGGAUUGUAAAGUGCUGUUGCAAGGGAAGAAAAAGUAGUUGAGGAAAUGCUUCUACAUUGACGGUACCUUGUUAGAAAGCGAUGGCUAACUAUGUGCCAGCAGCCGCGGUAAUACAUAGGUCGCAAGCGUUAUCCGGAAUUAUUGGGCGUAAAGCGUUCGUAGGCUGUUUAUUAAGUCUGGAGUCAAAUCCCAGGGCUCAACCCUGGCUCGCUUUGGAUACUGGUAAACUAGAGUUGGAUAGAGGUAAGCGGAAUUCCAUGUGAAGCGGUGAAAUGCGUAGAUAUAUGGAAGAACACCAAAGGCGAAGGCAGCUUACUGGGUUUAUACUGACGCUGAGGAACGAAAGCGUGGGGAGCAAACAGG